rnacentral:tRNA from 1 species
AGAUAGGUCCCUACCGAAAGGGGAAGUUAGCCGAUAACUAAUUUCUUACUAGUUUAAAUCUAGUCCUAUCUU